rnacentral:rRNA from 1 species
CACCAGCCCCUCGAGUGGUGGGGACUUUUAUUUGGCCUAAAGCGUCCGUAGCUGGCUGUAUCCGUUUCCCGGCAAAUCCGGCGUCCUAAGCGUCGGGCUUCGGGUAAUACCAUACAGCUAGAGGGUGGGAUAGGUGAGCGGUAUUUCUGGGGUAGGGGCGAAAUCCUUUGAUCCCAGGAGGACCACCAGUGGCGAAGGCUGCUCACUAGAACACGCCUGACGGUCAGGGACGAAAGCUGGGGCAGCGAACCGGAUUAGAUACCCGGGUAGUCCCCGCUGUAAACGAUGCUAGCUAGGUGUUGGGUCGGACACGCGCCGCCCCAGUGCCGCAGGGAAGCCGUUAAGCUAGCCGCCUGGGGAGUACGGCCGCAAGGCUGAAACUCAAAGGAAUUGAAGG